rnacentral:SRP_RNA from 1 species
GCUGGGCAUGGUGGCUCAUGCCUGUAAUCCUAGCCCUUUGGGAGGCUGAGGUGGGUGGAUCACCUGAGGCCGGGAGUUCAAGACCAGCCUGGCCAACAUGGUGAAACCCCAUCUCUA